GGGAGCAAACAGGAUUAGAUACCUGGUAGUCCGGACCAUAAAGGAUGUAAAAAGGAUGUAGGUCUCCACGGAGUCAGUAAAGAAGAUAACGCGUGAAGUUGGCCACCGGGGGAGUGCGGCCGCAAGGUUGAAACUCAAAGGAAUUGACGGGGAUCCGCACAAGCGGUGGAUGAUGUGGUUUAAUUCGAUGCAGCGCGAAAAACCUCACCCACCUUUGACAUGUACGGAAUCCUUUAGAGAUAGAGGAGUGCUCGGAAGAGAACCGUAACACAGGUGCUGCAUGGCUGUCGUCAGCUCGUGUCGUGAGAUGUUGGGUUAAGUCCCGCAACGAGCGCAACCCUUGUCAUUAGUUGCUACAUUUAGUUGGGCACUAUAAUGAGACUGCCGGUGACAAACCGGAGGAAGGUGGGGAUGACGUCAAGUCCUCAUGGCCCUUAUAGGUGGGGCUACACACGUCAUACAUUGGCUGGUACAAAGGGUUGCCAACCCGCGAGGGGGAGCUAAUCCCAUAAAACCAGUCGUAGUCCGGAUCGCAGUCUGCAACUCGACUGCGUGAAGUCGGAAUCGCUAGUAAUCGUGGAUCAGAAUGUCACGGUGAAUACGUUCCCGGGUCUUGUACACACCGCCCGUCACACCAUGGGAGCGGGUUCUGCCAGAAGUAGUUAGCUUAACCGCAAGGAGGGCGAUUACCACGGCAGGGUUCGUGACUGGGGUGAAGUCGUAACAAGGUA
rnacentral:rRNA from 1 species